CAUUUUGAAUCGCUGCAUUGCAUCGCCCUCACCUGAUCUUUCGCUGUCUCGGCUCAACUUGCGCCGUGUUAUAAAUAAAUAAAUAAAUAAAUAAGGAGGUCAACUUGCGUCGGCCAAUUCGCAACACCGAGACGAUAAUAAGAAUCUACAGUAGCUCCCUCCCGUCAUCAUUCAUUUCUUCCCGCAAAGCCCAAGAUUCCGUAGGUCAUUAAUUAGAUAUUGGUCCAUCGACGACACCAUGGCAUGAGAUGAGAUGAGAAGGCGGCCAUGGUGACAACUGCUGGAGACGCUGGAGCGUGUGAAGGGCCGACCGUGGAAGGCGGCAUCGUCGGACAUGUUGCGGUCGACAUCGACAGGUCGGCGGUGACGGCUGAUCGGCAGGGGCAGGUUGGAACCGGGAGCGGCUGCAGAAUUUGCCAGCUUGAGGACGGCGACCUGCCGGCGGAGAGCGGGAGCGGGCAGUUGGUAAACCUCGGCUGCGGCUGCCGAGGCGAGAUCGCGGCGGCGCACCGGCGGUGCGCCGAGGCAUGGUUCUCCGUGAGGGGCAACAGAUAUGGUGUUUUUCUCGUGCCCUAGCCGGAAAGCGGUACUAAGUUGUUACCCUGAUCCCAAAUAUGAUGGUUUUGGGUAAAUACCUCUGAAAAAACACUCAAAUUCGAUCGAUGUAGGCAUCGUAACAAGAAAUAGAUCAGGGCAUCUUCUUCCCCAUGUCAUGGCGGAUCAUCAGCGAGGAUUAAUCAUCCAGCAGGGGCAUCUCUCGCCGAAAUUGAUGUGGUGCAUGAAGCUUGGCGGUGCGAGAUCUGCGGCGAGAACGCGGCGAACAUCACUGGAUGGGGCGGCGGCGGCAAGGAGUUCAUGCGGCAGUGGCAUGGGAUGGCGAGCGUGGAUGGAGGAGGCUCAUCCAAGGCCAG